UACGGGGGGGGCAAGCGUUGUUCGGAAUUACUGGGCGUAAAGGGCUCGUAGGCGGCCAACUAAGUCGGAUGUGAAAUCCCCAGGCUUAACCUGGGAACUGCAUCCGAUACUGGAUGGCUUGAAUCCGGGAGAGGGAUGCAGAAUUCCAGGUGUAGCGGUGAAAUGCGCAGAUAUCAGGAAGAACACCCGUGGCGAAAGCGGCUCUCUGGAACGGUACUGACGCUGAGACGCGAAAGCGUGGGGAGCGAACAGG
rnacentral:rRNA from 1 species